rnacentral:rRNA from 1 species
GCUAACUGUGGGCCAGCUGCGGAGGUAAUAGAGGGGGUGCGGUCGUUAAUCGGAGUUGCUGGGCGGAAAGCGUGCGUAGGCGGCGGAGUAAGUCGGAUGUGAAAUCCCUGAGCGUAACUUAUGAAUUGCAUGCGAUACUGGGCAGCUAGAGUAGGGGAGAGGAUGGGAGAAUUCCAGGUGUAGCGGUGAAAUGCGUAGAGAUCUGGAGGAAUACCGAUGGCGAAGGCAGCCAUCUUGCCUAAUACUGACGCUGAGGUACGAAAGCAUGGGGAGCAAACAGGAUUAGAUACCCUUGUAGUC